rnacentral:rRNA from 1 species
GACGAACGCUGGCGGCGUGCUUAACACAUGCAGGUCGAACGGAAAGGCCUGCUUUCCCUUGUGGAUUGCGGGUACUCGAGUGGCGAACGGGUGAGUAACACGUGAGUGAUCUGCCCCCAACUUGGGUAUAAGCCUGGGAAACUGGGUCUAAUUCCCGAUAGGACUGCAGGGUGGUGCCUGUGGUGGAAAACGAUUUUCUAGUGGUUGGGGAUGAGCUCGCGGCCUAUCAGCUUGUUGGUGGGGUAAUGGCCUACCAAGGCGGCGACGGGUAGCCGGCCUGAGAGGGUGGACGGCCACAUUGGGACUGAGAUACGGCCCAGACUCCUACGGGAGGCAGCAGUGGGGAAUAUUGCACAAUGGGCGGAAGCCUGAUGCAGCGACGCCGCGUGGGGGAUGACGGCCUUCGGGUUGUAAACUCCUUUCGACCGCGAGGAAGCCACCUGGUUGGAAGGGUGGUGACGGUAGUGGUAGAAGAAGCACCGGCUAACUACGUG